GCUCAGGCCUGGCGGUUGGGGAGGCGGUUUAGAACGCAUGAGGAAGCUCCUAAGCCGGUAUUUGAAACGGAAACUCAUCGGUUAAAAUAGAAAUACCGGUACGUGGAAAGCUGGAACUUGUCUUUUCGAAGCCACCGUUCCCGUCAUCACCUCUGCCUCUCCGGGUUCCCAUAAUCGUCCUUAUGGACCGCUGGUCGUGUGGUUGCCUGCAGAACGCCUCCUGGACCCCCGGCUGGUUGAACUCCCAAUACCUUGUCAGGCCUCUUAGAGGGACUGUUCAGUGCAGUACUGUGAACAGAACCAUCACAGUGGAGACGCCCAUUGCUGCACACACAUAGGCACCUCCGGCGCGCAGUUUUUCUGGUUAACUCCAAUUACGAGGUCACGACACACAUCUCCAGCUAAUUUAUGCACAGCUCCAAUUCUGUGCAGGGAGGAUGCAAAACGGCAAACUAUCCAUGGUAGGACUUUCUGGAGCAUCAAUUCUAUAAGAUUUGGAAGAAAUGAAGUCAUUUCCAAGAAGCAUCUCCCAUCCCUGAUAAACACAGAAGACGAGAGAAAAGAGUAGGAGGGAAGAAGUACCCCAGGACAACAGUCCAGUCUCUGAAGAUUCACCCAGGUUGGGACAGAGGACCUGCCUGAAGCCAGGACCAGCCUCUCCUCUUAUCUCCCCGGUGGCACCCAGCCAUCCUUUAAGUUCACCAUUAUUUUUUGAUUCAGUGCUUUUUGAAUGCUGUGGAAGCACAGGUACUCCCUUGAUUUGAAUCCCAUGCAGGCCACCUUGGCAGUCUGCACCUGCCAUCCUUCCCUGCCCGUGGUCCUCGGUGUCCCCACAUACAAGCCGUAAGCUCCUUGCACCACUCCCGUCCCCACGGCUGUCUGUGUCAGCCCUGGCCCACCUCCCACACCUGCUGCUGGGCUCUGUGGAGCUCAGGAUCUUCUUGCUGCCCAUAUGAAAACAGUCUUUGGUUUUGUCCCUUCUUUGGCUAUCCACCAUGUGAGCUUUCAUUGGCUUCAUUGUGGUUUAAGGGCCACAUCAGUUCUUUCCAGGUGGCCUGAAACACGGGAUCUGCCUGAGUAAGAAGUUGAAGAAGCUCCCAGCAGCCCAGUCAGCCUUGGGGGGGUGCCAGAGGGAGAGGCUGGGGUCCUAUCACCGAGCCACACAGCAUGGAGGGAGUUGCCAGUUGUAGGACAAACCCUGGGGGCAGCUGGUUCCGUGUGGGGCAUCACCACUGCUGCUGAUGCUGUGGGUGGAGGGGAGGCCCCAGGGUCACACUGGGGACUGUGCUGGGGAAAGGGAUGGUCCUUGUGUCUUGGUGGGGGACUGGCAGGCACUUUGGUUGGGCUGCUGGCCUUCCACUGACUCCCGGUGCUCCCCAGGCCGCUGACUUUCUGAGUUACAGGACACAGCAGAGGUGGGCAGGCCCACCGAAACCAGGCUCCUCCAGGUUGGCAGAGACCCUGGGCUGAAGCCUGUGGGAGCGGGAAGGACAGCAACUAUUGGCAGGAUCAGCUGAAGGCAGAGGCUUCGCAGCAAUGGUCCACCCUCCACCUUGGGGCUCUUGCAGCCUAGGAUCAGGUAGUUGGCCAUCACUUCCUCUUAAUUCUGGCCCAUCAGCAGGUCCCAGAUCUGGUCCCACUCAUAGCCCACAGAUAAUGUCACCUCAGUUCUGCCAGGGAUCCUUGUAGUCAGGGAGUGGCUCACUGUAAGGCUUUAGUAGUUCUGCUUCACGGGCCAUGGUCAUCCAUGGGUCCUUCAUGGUUUCCUCUAAAGCGCUUCUCUCACUGGGACUGAGGGGCAGGAAUCUCUCUAGUAGGUCUCCCACGCUCCACAGACGUGGAAAGGGGAACGUGGCAUAUCCUGCUCAGCACCCACUCCCACAGCUCCCUGAAGUCCUGCCAAGGCAGGGACCUGCUGGUCACUGGACAGUCAUUGUAUAGAGGAUGGCUCCAGGCUCCACCCAUCUCCUAUGAGACUGUUGUACUCUUGGUAUAAGGGGGACUGCCACAGAAGGGGGUCAGCUUAUGGCCGGCAGUGAACUCAUUGCUGAAUCCAGAGUAUGCGACCUUGAUGUUCGGGUCAGAUUCCAAAAGCAGGCUCUCUGGCUUUAGGUCCCUGUGGAUGAUACCUUCCUGGUGGUGGUACUACACAGUGGACGCUAUCUGGCAGAAUCUGCCUCGGGGCUCCCCCUUUCUCAUGCAGGCAUAGCGCAUUCAAACACCUGUCCUUCGCUAGUGGACUCCGUGACCGGGUCGCCUGCUUCCAUGGUGCCAGUGACCUCAAGCAGUUUCACGACUCGGGGGUUGUGAUUCAGGGCCUUCAUGCUCUGGACUUCAAGGAAUAGUCUCUGGAGGCUGGAGGAGCCCUGCUGACUCUUGUUAAUGACCUUCAUGGACGCCUCUGUCCCACUCGGGCUGUGCCAGACCAACCCCACCUGGGCAAAGCUGCCCUGGCCAACGGUCCUGAGGAGCCGGUGGUGGUUACUGUGGCUCUCCCGGUCACGGGAUGGCCACAAGGCCCCGCAGCUCAGUGACUCACUUGCUAGGAAUGCUAACUAAAAGUGCCCCCUAACAGUACUAACAAACUAAAUAAAGAUGGGAAAGAACAGAAAAAAUGAGAAAAGAGAGGGAAAAAGCAAAACUGUGGCCAAAAGUCCCUCAGGUCCCCAGACACCAGCUUCCUGGCCUAAAAAAACCAAAACAUGUAGGCCUGGCCAAGGGCUAAUACAGAGAGGUGCUUAGGAUUUUCUCUCGAUGGCUCUUCUUGAGAUCAGUGCAAGAAAUGCACCUGUAAGGCUGGGGAUAAUUCACAGUGGUUUUCCCACUUGGUUCUCAGGCACCCUUUACUCUUAAAAGCGCGGGGGAGGGAUGCCCCCAGAGGCUUUUUUGUUUACGUGUCUUAUAGUGAUUGAUACAUACCUUACUAGAAAUUAAAACCUGAAGGAUGCUUCAGUAGCCUUUUCAUGUCUAGUUUGGGAAUCUGUAAUAAUUUUUGAUGUUUAAAGAAAGCCAUGAUAUCUAUACUUAGAAUAAUUCAAUUCCUUUUUCUUUAAACUCUGGAUGAUCGGUCUCAAAAUGAUACCACAAUUUAACUGGCUUCACAAUAGCCAAUGACAAAGACUCUCCCUGACUGAACUUGAGUCGUUCUCCUCUAGGUCUGGACCUUGCAGCCUGCCCUUGUCUGGCCUGCAUCACCCAGUUGUAGCAAGAACCUUGCCAAGUCAGUUUAAAGAGAACUCCCCACCCUCAAUAUCUCAUAACAUUCUUCACACACACACCCCACCUUUGGUGUCUGUGAAAUAAUAGAAAAUAUAUAUUGGUCUCUGUCCCUGGUUCUUGGCACAGGCUGCUGAAAGCCUUCUAAUUUCCUAAGUGUUAAGACACUAGGAGCAUCUCGUUUUCUAAUAUUUGGUCUUUAACCCCAGUUCCUGAUUCAGGGCUCCUAAAUUCCUUGGAAUAUCCUGGGUGGUAGGAAUGUCUUGUUCUAAUGAGGCAACUCUGGAUGGGCUCCUGGAUGACUCCCGGAGGGGAGUCUUUCUGACUGUUAGCAAAAGGCCAAGCCAUGAUUAGAAGCUUGGAAUUUUCAGCUCCAUACCCCCUCCCCAAUCCUCCAGAAAGGGGAAAGGGGCUGGAAGUGGAGUUAAUGAUCUGUCAUGCCUACGUGAGGAAGCCUCCAUAAAAAUCCCAACAGUAUGGGGUUCAGAGAGUUUCCAUAUGGGUGAACACAUCCACACUGGGAGCGUGAUGUACCCCAACUCCAUGGGGACAGAAGUUCCUGUGCUCGGGACCCUCCCACACCUCACUCCAUGUAUCUCUUCAUCUAACUGAUCGUGUAUCCUUUAUCACAUCCUUUAAUAAGUGUAAGCGGAAGUGACUGGGUUUUCCUUUGUAUGGCAUCUGACCACCCUGGCCUGCCCACAGCAAGAAUCCUGUUAGAUCUGUUUAACUAGAAUCCUGCCAUCCCUGAGGUUUCCUUAGUAGUUUUCCAUCUACUGACCCCAACCCUGCUCCUUGGCUAUAAACCCCCACUUUGUGCUCUACUGGGGAUGGGUUCCAGUUCUAUACUGAGGCCUCUUUUUCCCCCUAUUGCGGUAAUUCCUGAAUUAAACUUGCUUUUACUGCUUUAACUACUA